UACGUAGGGGGCAAGCGUUGUCCGGAUUUAUUGGGCGUAAAGAGCGUGUAGGCGGCCAGGUAGGUCUGCUGUGAAAACUCGAGGCUCAACCUCGAGAUGUCGAUGGAAACCGUCUGGCUAGAGUCCGGAAGAGGAGUGUGGAAUUCCUGGUGUAGCGGUGAAAUGCGCAGAUAUCAGGAAGAACACCUAUGGCGAAGGCAGCACUCUGGGACGGUACUGACGCUGAGACGCGAAAGCGUGGGGAGCGAACAGG
rnacentral:rRNA from 1 species